GAUGAACGCUGGCGGCGUGCUUAACACAUGCAAGUCGAACGAAGCACUUUAUUUGAUUUCCUUCGGGACUGAUUAUUUUGUGACUGAGUGGCGGACGGGUGAGUAACGCGUGGGUAACCUGCCUUUUACAGGGGGAUAACAGUUGGAAACGGCUGCUAAUACCGCAUAAGCGCACGGCAUCGCAUGCUGCAGUGUGAAAAACUCCGGUGGUAUAAGAUGGACCCGCGUUGGAUUAGCUAGUUGGUGAGGUAACGGCCCACCAAGGCGACGAUCCAUAGCCGAGCUGGGAGGGUGACCAGCCACAUUGGGGAUGAGACACAGCCCAAACUCCUACGGGAGGCAGCAGUGGGGAAUAUUGCACAAUGGGCGAAAGCCUGAUGCAGCGACGCCGGGUAAGCGAAGAAGUAUUUCGGUAUGUAAAGCUCUAUCAGCAGGGAAGAUAAUGACGGUACCUGAUUAAGAAGCACCGGCUAACUACGUG
rnacentral:rRNA from 1 species